GACCUUGUUCAAAGGUACUACAGCAAGGCUUCAACUGGCAGCCUGUAGGGUAUAAGUGUAUGUCCUUUAUGAUGACUUCAGUAAAAAAAGGUACUUGACAAAUAUACUGAUGAUUGUGAUGCAAUAGAUACAUGCUGCCUGUUUAUUAAAAAGCACCUGUGUAUUAUCUUGGCAUAAGCAGUGAUGGUAUGUUUCUGUACUGUACUGUGCUGAAGCCUUAGAGUUGACCCUGAGUGUCCUAAUUCUCUCUAUUGGUUCCUGACACAGGAAGGUGAUUUCGCUGCACCCCAAGUGGACGAGCUUGUUUUUUCGGAGCCCCAGUGCCAACUGUAGCCUUGCUCCCGUCGGGGCUGCGACACAGUCAGUGCUGCACAGGUCUGGAGUUGCCUCACGGGACCUUUCCCGAGUUCUGGACCAGAUGUUGCCCUACCAAACACGGGGCCGUAAGGAGAGAGGGGUACUGCCUCACCCUGAAUGCCUGAGAGAAGAGGUGCCUUCUGCAGCAGACCAUCAACGGCCUUUCACUCCAGCUGCCUCGCCCGGCCAAUCCGACUUUACAGCAUUGAACCAAUGUCCAGUGACAUAGCCCGGGACUUGUUCCACCCGACCAACGGACAAAACCGGAUCCGCUUUACAGUGCCUGAUCAGCGUUCAGUGACGUAGCCUGGGAUUACUCUGCUAGACCACGCGACCAACACACAUGGCAGCAUUCACGCUACUUGAUGAACAGAGAUACAUCUGAACCUGUUUCAAGAGACCGAUGGACAUAACUGGACCCACACUUGCAGAGGAAUGGACAUAGCCAGAUCCCCUGUACCUGGAAAAUGGACAUAUCUGGACCUACGCUUUCUGGUCAUAGAUAUCGUCUCUACUUUUGACCGUUGGAAGUGAGUCCACUCUCCCUGACCAGUGGACAAAGCCAGACCCACUGUCACUGACCAGUGUUAACAGGACUCUCUUUCCCAAUUCGGCCCUAUCACGGAGGGGAGGGGGGUCUUUCCCCUUGGAUCAAAGGCCUUCAGUGCUGUACUGACCACUGCCCUUGCUCUGUAUUCUGUGUCCCAUCAGUGUUCCCCUGCCAUUGUCCUGACCACGCAAUGUGCAGCCUGUGAGCAGAGAGACGCCCCAGUCCUGCUUGGCCCAUCUACUGCAGUGUAACCGCGUGCUCUUGUCUUUAAUGUGAAUUCAUAAACAGAUCAGCGUACAAAAUUCCCUUGGCCUUGAUUCCCUUGAUUUGCUCAUCGUCCUUCAUUUUCUAGUGGCUAACAGGGCAGCGGGUGCUGAUGCACGGAGAGGUUCCUAGUGCGAAAUGUGCGCAGUAGCCAAGAAGUUUAACAAACACUUUGCU
rnacentral:lncRNA from 1 species